GCGCACGGUGGCUUAGUGGUUAGCACGUUUCUCACACCUCCACACCACCAGGUUCCGGGGUUCGAUUCCCGCCGGGGCC